CAAAAAUUCAAUAGUUUUUGUAUGUUGGGACCAAACUAGACUAGAAUAUGCAGAGCACUAGUUCUAGCGAUCCAAGGAGGAAAAUCGUCAUUUAGUGUUAUCUUACAUCUAUAAGGAUUUUGUAACUCGAAACGGACGUGUACUACCACGCUUGAUAAGUCCGCGUUUGAUGGGUUGCACGUGUACUUGCCAGAAUCUGCUUGCACUGCAUCCUGUAUG